CCUACGGGGGGCAGCAGUGAGGAAUAUUGGUCAAUGGACGAGAGUCUGAACCAGCCAAGUAGCGUGAAUGAUGACUGCCCUAUGGGUUGUAAACUUCUUUUAUAUGGGAAUAAAAUGUUCCACGUGUGGGAUUUUGUAUGUACCAUAUGAAUAAGGAUCGGCUAACUCCGUGCCAGCAGCCGCGGUAAUACGGAGGAUCCGAGCGUUAUCCGGAUUGAUUGGGUUUAAAGGGAGCGUAGGUGGAUUGUUAAGUCAGUUGUGAAAGUUUGCGGCUCAACCGUAAAAUUGCAGUUGAAACUGGCAGUCUUGAGUACAGUAGAGGUGGGCGGAAUUCGUGGUGUAGCGGUGAAAUGCUUAGAUAUCACGAAGAACUCCGAUUGCGAAGGCAGCUCACUGGACUGCAACUGACACUGAGGCUCGAAAGUGUGGGUAUCAAACAGGAUUAGAUACCCCAGUAGUC
rnacentral:rRNA from 1 species